rnacentral:rRNA from 1 species
UACAGAGGUGCCGAGCGUUAGGCGGAAUCACUGGGCUUAAAGCGUGUGUAGGCGGAUGCCUAAGUCCCUUGUGAAAUCCCAUGGCUUAACCAUGGAACUGCUCGGUAUACUGGGUGUCUUGAGCCACUUAGGGGCUACCGGAACAAAUGGUGGAGCGGUGAAAUGCGUAGAUAUCAUUUGGAACGCCAAUGGUGAAAACAGGUAGCUGGGAGUGUGCUGACGCUGAGACACGAAAGCCAGGGGAGCAAACGGG